rnacentral:tRNA from 1 species
GUGCAUGUUGUGUUGUGGUUAUCACAUCCGCCUAACACGCGGAAGGUCCCAGGUUCGAUCCCUGGCAGGCACA